CCCACCCCUAGAAUGGCUGGUAUGAACCGAGUUUCCACACAGUCUAGCUGGCAAUGGGGUCAGGAGACGUUUUGCUGCUUCACAUCUUUUGGUCACUGGUAAAUAUUAAGGAAGGAUGUGUAAAACUCCCAGAACGCUACGAAACAGGGACGAAAACACUUCAAAGAGAAAGUUAAUGAACUUGUUUCUGACCACAGGGCAUCCUUCAGCACAUGCUGUCUGGAGUGGCCUCCAACAAGGAGUGUGUGGUGAGGUGCUGAGAAUGCAAUGGGAGCAGGGUCCUGUCCCCACGCUAAAGAAGCUCACAGUUUAAUGCAAAUGAGAAGCCAGUGAGGACAUCACUACUCCUGCUGUGCACUUGGGAACUAGAAACACAAAACCUGACUCUGGAGGGAAGCUAAGGAAGCAUUCUACUCUUGAGUUGACAUAAGUGCAUCUGAAGCUUCUGAUCUCCGAUGAGAACAAUGGGGGACACCAAACAGAAUACAAAACCCAUGAUUGAAUACAUCAAAUUGCUAACAUGGCAGUAAACAGACAUGAGGUGAAGACGGAGAAGAAGGAAACCCAGGACGAAAGUCAGCCUCGCAUUUGGAACCCAUUUCCCUGAGUUUCAUUGCUGAAUUCCAGAAGGAACUACCGAGAUGCAAAGAAGCAGAGCAGCUUUUGCACACAUGCGUGGGGUUAGAUGGAAAACAAGUGGAUUGAGGGUCUGCCAAUGAAAGCGACCCAUACUGAAGUCCACUGGCUCUGGUUGAGACCCAGAAGGGUCAUGCAUCAGAAUAGAGGUGGACAGGAAAUACCCUGGCCUUUGUAGGGACUGAGCCUGCACCGACGACCUCAAUUGCAGCCUGUAUGGAGGACCCCUGACCAUCCCCCAGAAGUAGACUCCCAUCUCUUCUGCAGCAAGAUAACAUGCUACUAGGCCUCAAUUCAUUGCUAAAUAUUUUUUAACAAGUAUCUCACAUUUAACAAAAAAAGAUCAGUCAUAUGGCAGCAAAAUACAAUGUAAUAUGACCAAAACAUGAAAGACUGUGAAAAUGAAUCUGGAGGUGACCCAAGCAUUGAAUUCAACAAUCCAGGCUGGGUGCGGUGGCUCACACUGGGAGGCUGAGGUAGGCAGAUCACCUGAGGUCAGGAGUUCAAGACUAGCCUGGCCAACAUGGUGAACCCCUGUCUCUACUAAAAAUACAAAAAUUGGGCUGGGCACCGUGGCUCACGCCUGUAAUCCCAGCACAUUGGGAGGCCGAGGUGUGCGGAUCAUGACGUCAGGAGUUCUAGACCAGCUUGGCCAAUAUGGUGAAACCCCGCCUCUACUAAAAAUACAAAAAUUAUCCGGGCAUGGUGGCAUAUGCCUGUAGUCCCAGCUACUCAAGAGGCUGAGGGAUAAGAAUUGUUUGAACCUGGGAGGCGGAGGUUGCAGUGAGCCAAGAUCAUGCCACUGCACUCUAGCCUGGGUGACAGAGUGAGACUCUGUCUCAAAAAAAAAAAAAAAAAAAAAAAAAAAUGGCCGAAUGUGGCAGCACACACCUGUAAUCCAAGCUACUCGGGAAGCUGAGGCAGAGUUGCUUCAAACUGGGAGGCAGAGGUUGCAGUGAGCCAAGAUUGCACCACAGCACUCCAGCCUGGGCGACAGAGCGAGACUCUAUCUCAAAAUUAAAAAAAAAAAAAAAAGGCUGGGUGUGGUGGCUCACGCCUCUAAUCCCAGCACUUUGGGAGGCUGGGGCGGGUGGAUUACCUGAGGUCAGAAGUUCGAGACCAGCCUGGACAACAUGGUGAAACCCCAUCUCUAGUAAAAAUACAGAAAUUAGCUGGGCGUGGUGAUGGGCACCUGUAAUCCCAGCUACUUGGGAGGCUGAGGCAGGAGAAUUGCUUGAACCCAAAAGGCAGUGAGCUGAGAUUGUGCCAUUGCACUACAGCCCGGGCAACAAGAGCAAAGCUCCAUCUCAGGAAAAAAAAAAAAAGA